rnacentral:lncRNA from 1 species
AUGCCUCCCUUCUCCUCCUUGCUCAAGUUGCUCCUAGAAAUCCCAUUUCGCCCCACCGCGGGGAGGAACGUCCCCGGGGCAGCUGUCACCAGCCAUGGGACUGUUCGCUGGCCUGCGGUGGCUUUCCAAGCUCAGAGUUGGGUCUACUGGGAGAACGCACACAGCUUUCCAGAGCCUUGCACAGUUUCUAUGUUAAAAAAACAAAAAAACAAAAACCCAAACACGCGUUUUUGUCUGCUCCAGCAAACUCCAUUUGAUGUGAAAUUGCCUGCGGGAAAACCAUUCGCCGCAGGUCAGGAGAAAGGAAUGAAUAAGGUGCUCCAGGGACGGUGGCAUCUCCAAACGCCUCUCCAAGCCGGCAGCCGUGAAGGGAAGCUUGGCUCUGGCGAAAUCCCCCGGCCAAGAGCCCCCAGUGGCGGGUGCUGUGCCAGCGCAUGCCUGGCGCCAAGAGGAUGUGCUAGACAGAGCACGCUUUGUGUCGCGCCUGGCCCAGGCUUGCCCGGCAAGCGGCAAGGCGGCAGCAAUACGCUGGGGUCUGUCGCGCCGGCCCUCCUGCACCAUCUGGGUUCCCUGAGGUCUCCUGCGGAGCCAGGAGGUCGCCCAAAAGGAGGGAAGGCAGAAAAAAAAUGGGAAAAACGUGGGGAUGGAGAGGUGAGAUGUGUGUAUGGACCAUGCAGGGAAGGGUUUGCGUCUCAGGAGCUGGGGAAGGCAGAGCUGAGGAGACCAGCGGAGGGGACGUCAUCUUCUGGGAGACGGAGCCAAGGCCACUUGGGGGGUCACGUCUUCGUGUCCCCAAAGAGCAGCUCUUGCUGCUCUCCUUGUGGCAGGGGCUGGGCCCCGGACUCGUGGUGCCGGUGGCUCCCACGCGACUUGCUCGGCACCCGGACGUGCCUUCAGGACUCUUUGCUCCUGGCUCCUUCCCAGACCCUGGCGACAGCCCGUCUCCUGCCUCAAGGACAUGGCAAGGUCACACGCGGCGUCACUUGGGGACACAGGCUUUUCUCACACCUGCUUUUCAGGUGCCGGGAAACAAAAGAAACCCAAGAUGUUUAA